AGCUUUGCACAGCAGCAGUAUCGUAGCCAAUGAGGCUUAUCCAAGGCAGGAUUAUUGUUAAUUGAAAACUGUUUUUCUUUUGUGCUGUAUUUAUUUAUUUAUUUAUUUAUU
rnacentral:snRNA from 1 species